GGAUGAUGUGGAUAAUUCGAUGCAACGCGAAGAACCUUACCUACCCUUGACAUGUCCGGAACUUGCCAGAGAUGGCUUGGUGCCCGAAAGGGAAUCGGAACACAGGUGCUGCAUGGCUGUCGUCAGCUCGUGUCGUGAGAUGUUGGGUUAAGUCCCGCAACGAGCGCAACCCUUAUCAUUAGUUGCUACGCAAGGGCACUCUAAUGAGACUGCCGGUGACAAACCGGAGGAAGGUGGGGAUGACGUCAAGUCCUCAUGGCCCUUAUGGGUAGGGCUUCACACGUCAUACAAUGGUCGGUACAGAGGGUUGCCAAGCCGCGAGGCGGAGCCAAUCCCACAAAGCCGAUCGUAGUCCGGAUUGUUCUCUGCAACUCGAGAGCAUGAAGUCGGAAUCGCUAGUAAUCGCAGGUCAGCAUACUGCGGUGAAUACGUCCCCGGGUCUU
rnacentral:rRNA from 1 species